CCUUCCUGCGCAGGAAGUUCAGCAGGUCUCCGUGGCAACAGUACUCGGUGAUGACCAGGACUGGGCCUAGAGGACGUGUGCGGGGCCAGGAGCAAGAGGAGCAGCAGGGAGAGGAGGACCAUGAUCGCGACGCAGGUGAAGAGGACCGGCGUGAAGAAGGGGUCCUCAGCGGGCUUGAAGGAUUCAACUACAGGAGAUGGAGGGGAGGUGGUGAGCAGGGGACUGGGAACCCCUCUCCCCCUUGAGGAUCCGGAACUCACUCUGCCCUGCCCCGUUCCCGGACCCUCGGCUCGAGUCCCCGCUUCCCCCUAACGCUCUUGUGAGGUUACAGGGACGGCUCAGGGCCGGGGAGACCGGCCAGGCCACGGGGCUGCUCGUGGGGCGGGGGGGGGGGGUACGGCCCAAACGGUGAAGACUGGUCCCGUGUGGUGAGCCCUCAGGGCCCUAGGGGCGUGACUGCUGCCUGGUUUUGGGGUCCCACUCCCCCUCGCCCCCUCGGCGGGGCAACCGGCCAGGAACGAGGAUGCCCGUUUCCCCGGCACCGGACCUGACCGCCUCGGUUACCCGGGGGAGACGCAGUUUGAGAGGGGCCUGCCGCCUCCCGGGUUGGACAAGACCCAUCCCCGCUCACACCCUCCGUAGAGGGGACGGCAGGGAGGGCCCAGGAUGGAGAACCAAAACACCAGUUCCAGUGGCCCGGCAGAGUUUACCAGCCAAGCGGCUCCUUAUCCGGAUCUUCUGAGGCUAAACUUGAGGAUAACUGAUGUGAAAACUGGUUGGAAAAAAUGAAAGUGGUUGGCAAAAGGCGAGAUAUCCUGUAUCUUUCGGUAAAUGUCCAGGCCGCGGGAUGGAACGGAUUUCCUGGGGGGCAGCGGGACCGGUGGGCGGGCACAAAGGAGUGGGGUUAGAGGAGAUAUAUAGGGAAAAAAAAAUGGGCAGCUGAUUCUCCUGGGUGGCUUAGAGGUGAGAUACAGGAUCAGGUGGAUCAUUCUAAGCCACUUUCAGCUCCCCGAAGUGCUCCGAAGGGGCCGGUAGAGCCUGGAGCCGAAAAGCAUCCCUAGAGAACAGCAAAGUUCUGGAACCUUCCCGACUUCCCAGCUCUCCUCAGAGAGGAACUCAUCUCUCCUCACCUCCCUGUCUGCCCCUCUACCUCCUUUCGCAGGGAUUUGCAGCCUCAUGAGCUUCUGUGGCCGAAAUCACCUCUACCGCUAUUACUAUUGACGCUAAUAGUGUUUGCUAAGCCCUUAUUUUGCGCCCGGGACUGAACUAAGCACUGGGGUUAGAGAAAAGAAAAAUCGGGAUGGAUAGAGUUCCUGUCACACGUGAGCCUCACGGUCUAAGUAGGAGGAAGAACGGUCAUUGGCUCCCCGUUUUCAC